UACGAAGGGGGCUAGCGUUGCUCGGAAUCACUGGGCGUAAAGCGCACGUAGGCGGCUUCUUAAGUCAGGGGUGAAAUCCUGGAGCUCAACUCCAGAACUGCCCUUGAUACUGAGGAGCUCGAGUCCGGAAGGGGUGAGUGGAACUCCGAGUGUAGAGGUGAAAUUCGUAGAUAUUCGGAAGAACACCAGUGGCGAAGGCGGCUCACUGGUCCGGUACUGACGCUGAGGUGCGAAAGCGUGGGGAGCAAACAGG
rnacentral:rRNA from 1 species